rnacentral:rRNA from 1 species
CCUACGGGUGGCAGCAGUGGGGGAUAUUGCACAAUGGGGGGAACCCUGAUGCAGCGACGCCGCGUGGGUGAAGAAGCGCCUCGGCGCGUAAAGCCCUGUCAGCAGGGAAGAAAAUGACGGUACCUGAAGAAGAAGCCCCGGCUAACUACGUGCCAGCAGCCGCGGUAAUACGGAGGGGGCAAGCGUUAUCCGGAUUUACGGGGUGUAAAGGGGGCGCAGACGGCGAUGCAAGCCAGGAGUGAAAGCCCGGGGGCCAACCCCGGGACUGCUCUUGGAACUGCGUGGCUGGAGUGCAGGAGGGGCAGGCGGAAUUCCUGGUGUAGCGGGGAAAUGCGUAGAUAUCAGGAGGAACACCGGUGGCGAAGGCGGCCUGCUGGACUGCAACUGACGUUGAGGCCCGAAAGCGUGGGGAGCAAACAGGAUUAGAUACCCCGGUAGUC